GCGCGAAAACUUUGCAAUGCGGGAAACCGUGACAAGGGAACUCUGAGUGCCCGUAAAAUCGGGCUGUCCAUCGGUUUAAAUAACCGGUGAAGAAAGGGCCGGGCAAGACCGGUGCCAGCCGCCGCGGUAAUACCGGCGGCUCGAGUGGUGGCCACUAUUACUGGGCUUAAAGCGUUCGUAGCUGGUUUGUUAAGUCUCUGGGGAAAUCUUCCGGCUUAACCGGAAGGCGUCUCAGGGAUACUGGCAGACUAGGGACCGGGAGAGGUGAGAGGUACUCCAGGGGUAGGAGUGAAAUCCUGUAAUCCUUGGGGGACCACCUGUGGCGAAGGCGUCUCACCAGAACGGCUCCGACAGUGAGGGACGAAAGCUGGGGGAGCAAACCGGGAUUAGAUACCCGGGUAGUCCCAGCCGUAAACGAUGUGCGUUAGGUGUAUCGGUGACCACGAGUCACCGAGGUGCCGAAGAGAAAUCGUGAAACGUACCGCCUGGGAAGUACGGUCGCAAGGCUAGAAACUUAAAGGGAAUUUGGGACGGGGGAGACACCACAAACCGAGGUGGAAGCCCUGGCCGGUUUUAAA
rnacentral:rRNA from 1 species